UGCAUUAUGCAGCCGGUUAUGACUCACCAGAAUCAUUGGAAUUAUUAUUAAGCGCAGGUGUCAACAAGGACAUAUUAAAUAGAAAGAAUGAAACACCACUAUUACAAGCCAGCCGCAACGGUAACACAAAUUGUGUAAAAAUUUUGUUGAACCAUGGAGCUGACAGAAUGAUAAAGGAUCAAGAUGGACUGACACCAUAUAAUUAUGCCAAAAAAAAGGGUUGUUUGGAUAUAGUUAAAUUAUUAGAGAUAUAGAGUUUAAAAAGUACCAGUCAUCACCAGCAUUACAUCCCUUGGGCCAAAUGGUUUUAGCUUGAGAAGUAGCUGACACCAUUGGUUUUUUUUGCAUCUGAAGGAGCAAGCUUCUUAACAGGCCGGAUAAUCUUUGUUGAUGGAGGCAGACAUGUGGCAUCACCUCAGCCUAAAUUAUAAACUGAUAAUGAUUAUUUAACAAAUUUCUUUAAUCAUUAAUUCCUCAGGUUUAUUACUGUGCUGGCAGUACUUGUAAAAGUUGUUUACUAUUAUCAAAAUAACUGAUUAUCAUAUUAGUUGUACUUAUUUUGAUCAAGGAUUGUCAAAUGUAUGAGAGCACUAUUGAAAAUGUGUUGUUUGUUUACUCAUAAAUAUUAUAUACUUAUUGAUUUGUUGAGUUGUUAAUAACUACAUUUAUACUAAUGUUUAAUAAGUUGUUUUUU
rnacentral:sRNA from 1 species